AGAGAAUGGCAUGAACCUGGGAGGUGGAGCUUGCAGUGAGCCAAGAUUGUACCACUACACUCCAGCCUGGGCAACAGAA
rnacentral:snRNA from 1 species